GUAUUUAUAACCCUGUAUUUAUAAGCCUGUAUUUAUAAGCCUGUAUUUAUAAGCCUGUAUUUCACUAACAGACACGUCUUUACAGCCUUUCUCCUCAGGUUGUAUGGUUAUAUAUAUAUUUAAUUAAUAAAUAAUGAACAGGUUGGCUCAGGUUCAGGCCYACAGGUGUUUGUUAUUGUUUAUAACAGCAGCAGACAGUUGAUAGUGUUUUUCAUGUCUGUGGGGACAAAAACAGAAAAAAAGAGAAAUCCACACAUGAAGUCUUCUUCUUCUUCUUCUUCUUCUUCUUCUUCUUCUUCUUCUUCUUCUUCUUCUUCUUCUUCUUCUUUUUACAUGAGGACGUGGACAGAAUGUAAGACCAGUCCGGCCUCUCAGGAGCUCAGAGGGCCGGGGGAGGGAGACUCCUGGCCGGGCCAGUCCCCGGUCUCCUGAACUGAACKUACCUCUAUUUAAACGUCGUCACCCGGGUACCUCAGCUGCGCCUCGGUCGGAGUCCGUCUACCCCGCCAUGAGCAGACAUGUCCGUCCUGAAGAGGAGGUGUCUCUCUUGUCUCCGGAUGUCCUCCCCGGUCCUCCGGCUCUUCAACGUGUGAUGCUGCUACCGCCCGCCGGACUCCUCUCCUCCUCCGACCGUCUCUCYGGUUCUCAGUGUUUUUCUGUUCGGCCCAAGUUUCUGGCCGCCGACAUGACGCGAAAUUAAAUAAAUAAGUGACCCAUGACGGGGUUCKGCAUCGCCUUAAAGGGAAAGGCGUCGCGGCGGACAAAGCUGCGCAGGAAGCUGCUGUUUGAAGGGAGAGCAGCUCCACUGGCGGUGGGAGAAAGCGCUUCGGGAAAAGUCGGCUCGACUCGUCGAAGCGACGUCACCUUCGUGACUUUACAGCAUAGAUCGUUUAUUAUCAAGAGCAGCCGCAUGAUGGGGCCAGAGUUCAGGUAACAAGAAGCGACAGGAGUAACACACGAAGCUCCUCCUCCCUUUGGACCGUGGAAAGAGAGGAGCACAUCUUCAAAUUAUUGGGAUGCAGAAGUUUCCACAGGUGAGACAGCAGUUCAUUACAGGUUCGCUCUCAUGAACAUCCACUGCUGGAAAGAGCCUAACGAGCCCCGGAGUCCUGGUCCCGGUGGACCUCAGAGGCCCGGCUCGUCGGAGCCCGGCAGGUGUCUCUGGGACAGGAUGU